AUUGAACGCUGGCGGCAUGCCUUACACAUGCAAGUCGAACGGCAGCACGGGAGCAAUCCUGGUGGCGAGUGGCGAACGGGUGAGUAAUAUAUCGGAACGUGCCCAGUCGUGGGGGAUAACGCAGCGACAGCUGUGCUAAUACCGCAUACGAUCUACGGAUGAAAGCGGGGGAUCGCAAGACCUCGCGCGAUUGGAGCGGCCGAUAUCAGAUUAGCUAGUUGGUGGGGUAAAGGCCUACCAAGGCGACGAUCUGUAGCUGGUCUGAGAGGACGACCAGCCACACUGGAACUGAGACGCGGUCCAGACUCCUACGGGAGGCAGCAGUGGGGAAUUUUGGACAAUGGGCGCAAGCCUGAUCCAGCAAUGCCGCGUGCAGGAUGAAGGCCUUCGGGUUGUAAACUGCUUUUGUACGGAACGAAACGGUGAGCUCUAAUACAGUUUGCUAAUGACGGUACCGUAAGAAUAAGCACCGGCUAACUACGUGCCAGCCGCCGCCGUAACAC
rnacentral:rRNA from 1 species